rnacentral:rRNA from 1 species
CCCCACAAUGGGACUGAAACACGGCCCAUACUCCUACGGGAGGCAGCAGCAGGGAAUAUUGCACAAUAGGCGAAAGCCUGAUGCAGCGACGCCGCGUGAGUGAAGAAGGCCUUCGGGUCGUAAAGCUCUUUUGUACGGGAAGAGGAAGGACGGUACCCUAAGAAGAAGCGUCGGCUAACUACGUGCCAGCAGCCGCGGUAAGACGUAGGACGCGAGCGUUAUCCGGAAUUACUGGGCGUAAAGGGCCAGCAGGCGGCUUGGUAAGUUGUGCGUGAAAGCCUCGUGCUCAACGCGAGGAAGCCGGACAAUACUGUCAAGCUAGAGGGCAUCAGAGGGGAGUGGAAUUCCCGGAGUAGCGGUAAAAUGCGCAGAUAUCGGGAGGAACACCGAUGGCGAAGGCAGCUCCCUGGGAUGCACCUGACGCUAAGAGGCGAAAGCUAGGGGAGCGAACAGGAUUAGAGACCCUGGUAGUCCUAGCUGUAAACGCUGGGUGCUAGGUGUGGGACGUAGAAGUUCCGUGCCGGAGCAAACGCGAUAAGCACCCCGCCUGGGGAUUACGGUCGCAAGGCUAAAACUCAAACGAAUUGACGGGGCCCCGCACAAGCAGCGGAGCGUGUGGUUCAAUUCGAUGCUACACGAAGAACCUUACCUGGGUUUGACAUGUACGUGGUACGAAGGCGAAAGCCUAAGGACCCUUCGGGGAGCGUACACAGGUGCUGCAUGGCUGUCGUCAGCUCGUGCCGUGAGGUGUCGGGUUAAGUCCCGUAACGAGCGCAACCCUUGCCCUUAGUUACAAGUGUCUAAGGGGACUGCCGGCGGGAAGCCGGAGGAAGGUGGGGAUGACGUCAAGUCAGCAUGGCCCUUAUGUCCAGGGCUACACACACGCUACAAUGGUCAGUACAAAGGGUAGCGAAGUCGCGAGGCGGAGCGAAUCUCAACAAAGCUGAUCGUAGUUCGGAUUGCAGGCUGCAACCCGCCUGCAUGAAGCUGGAGUUGCUAGUAACCGCGCGUCAGCCAUAGUGCGGUGAAUACGUACCCGGGGCUUGUACACACCGCCCGUCACGUCAUGGGAGUCGGUAACGCCUGAAGCCGGUAGUCUGGCCCGCAAGGGGGACGCUGUCGAAGGCGGGAC